rnacentral:misc_RNA from 1 species
AGAUCAUUUCAAGCUCUUGAAGGUAUAUGCUUUGACUUUAAUUGAUCAAAUAUAACAUUGGAUCGGCAAUCAGCAGUUAGUCUAAUAUAUUAAUGUAGCUGUCUCAAAAUAAGUAUAAACUGUUGAUGGAGCUUUUACAUGGAAAGCUGAAGGCAAAGAUAUUAAAGUAAAUACAGAUUUAAGCUGGUUAUGAAACCUAUCCAUAAUUAAA